rnacentral:misc_RNA from 1 species
AACGCACCUUGCGCUCCUUGGUAUUCCGAGGAGCAUGCCUGUUUGAGUGUCAUAUAAUUCUCAACCUUAUUGGCUUUUGCUGAUAAUGGCUUGGAUGUGGGGGUCCUUUUUUGCCGGCUUCUUCAGAGGUCAGCUCCCCUUAAAUGCAUUAGCUGGUGCCCCGCGUGGACUGUCUAUUUGGUGUGAUAAUUAUCUACGCCAUGGAUGUCUUGUGUGCAUCGCUUCUAACUGUCCGUUCAUCUGGACAACAUACAUGACAAUUUGACCUCAAAUCAGGUAGGACUACCCGCUGAACUUAA